UCAGAAGCUGUGAAGAGAAGAGUACGCUUUUUCUCCUGCGAAAGAGAGCCCCGGAAGGUGCGAGGGGGUGCGGCGAGGGGAGCGGAACAUGGUCUCGGAGCUGAGCCGUCGAGCGGGGAUUCUCCCCAGGCAGACGGUUCCGGGUCGUCCCGUUACAGGCGUUUGAGGUACGGACAGAAUGCCCGUGCGAAUCAAGGUGGUACCGCGUCAGUUUUUGUCGCCCUUGGA
rnacentral:ncRNA from 1 species